CACAACUCAAUGACUCCACCUUCUCCAGCCGGCAAAGAUAAAGAACAGAGUCCUGCAAGAACAGAGUCCUGCCUUCACUAGCCUGCCACCAUCGGUCAGCCGGCAAAACCACUACUGGGUGCGGAGAGAGUUUAGAAGGCUGUCACCACCAGUCUACCGCCACUAUCAGAUGGCUGGAACUGCUGCAGGUAAAGAUAAAUUCUGAUGAUGGGUUUCAUUGGUAAUAAAAAGAGAUAUUUGGAUGACCAGUUUGAAGUUUGAAGAUUUCAAGAAUUGCAAGAUGACAACAUGUAAAUUUUGUGGGCAAAGGUUGCUGGCCAAAUCUGGUGUGGCAUUGGGUUACAUUCAUAAGGUAUCAUGGUGACAUUCCAUCUUUGUUUGUAUGAUCAUCUCUAAAAGGGUCUUGAUAUCUUGAUGAUGCAGAAGAUGUAGAUACAUCUGUGUUCAGCUGAAUAUCUCUGCUUAACCAAUUUAUUUUCACUUUAAUAUGAUAAUAUUUGUUACACAUAAUACUUUUGAUCUUAUUGUUUUACCCACUAAAAGAAGAGGAAGUUCUUUCAACAUUAAGAGUCCUCUUAUUUGUAGGGAAGAGAGUCAGAUUACGGAAAUGGGCAAUUUCAUCAUUAUUUGAAGUAUGUUGUAGUUUCAUUCUCAAAGGUUCUUGCUACGUCAUAUUGAA